UCGCUCUGGUUUCUCUUCAUAACACAUAAGUCUUUCGCCUUUUACUAAAGACUUCCUUGGAGAAGAACGCAGAUGAGCUAAAUCUAGUUUUGGUGGGCUUUGCUGUAUGGCCGAGCC